UCAAAAAUAAUUUAAUAAAAAUCUUGUUCCUACAACACAACAAAUAGGAGCCCACCUCCUUUUUUGAA
rnacentral:tRNA from 1 species